CUCCCAGAGACCAAAGAUGCCAAAAGAUGGGGAGAUGGAAAUUACUCCCAAUUUUACAGGUCCACUCCCACAGCACUGCUCCAGUCCCUGUGACUUCUCACCAAGAUGCUGCAGCAGCCUCCGUGCUGGCCUCCCAGCCUCCGUUUGGAGAUUCUCUCUGCUCCUCUCCACUCCACACAGAAGCCAAAGCCACUUUACUGAAGUGUGAUAAAAGUGAGGCUUGGAGAAGAGAAAACACUUGUCCUGGGCCAAAGUCUGGUAAUCUGAAGGCAAACACUUGAUCUCAGCACUUGCCAGGCUUUGCCUAGAUUUGGCAUCUGUGCCAGUGGCCACCACAUCACAGGGCGGAAGAUGUGCUGGGAACAGCAACUGUGCAAGACAAAUCAAAGGAACUACGAUCACCACCCUAGAGUGUUAGAGCUGGAGAGGACCACGCUUGUUCCACUCGAAACAACCCCCAGUUCCUUUUC